rnacentral:rRNA from 1 species
UGGGGAAUCUUGGACAAUGGGGGCAACCCUGAUCCAGCAAUGCCGCGUGAGUGAAGAAGGCCUUCGGGUUGUAAAGCUCUUUUGUCAGGGAAGAAACGGUAGUAGCGAAUAACUAUUACUAAUGACGGUACCUGAAGAAUAAGCACCGGCUAACUACGUGCCAGCAGCCGCGGUAAUACGUAGGGUGCAAGCGUUAAUCGGAAUUACUGGGCGUAAAGCGUGCGCAGGCGGUUGUGUAAGUCAGAUGUGAAAUCCCCGGGCUCAACCUGGGAAUUGCAUUUGAGACUGCACGGCUAGAGUGUGUCAGAGGGGGGUAGAAUUCCACGUGUAGCAGUGAAAUGCGUAGAUAUGUGGAGGAAUACCGAUGGCGAAGGCAGCCCCCUGGGAUAACACUGACGCUCAUGCACGAAAGCGUGGGGAGCAAACAGGAUUAGAUACCCUAGUAGUCCCUGAGCGGGCUGGCAAGGCGCAU